UCACAAGGACUUUUGAUGGGCAGUAAGUGCCCUGGUGACAUAGGGUCACAUCCUGUUACUCGAGCAGGCAGGUCCUGGGUAGAUCCCAGGGAGGUGGGUUGGUAAAGGAUAAAGAGCUCCUGGGUGGUCAGCAGCUGGCUGCAGUUCCCCAGGAAACAGCUUCUGGCAGACACUCAAUCUCCAGUUGUAACAGGUGGUGUGGAGUCCGCUGGCCCAGAAAGUGGGCUGAAGGCCUAGUCCUGCCAAUGAACUUGCUGUAUAAACUUUUCUGUCUAUCAAAUGAGGCAUCUUGGAGGGAGGCCAUCACCUCAGAGGUGGAGAAAUGUCAAGCUAGUUGA
rnacentral:lncRNA from 1 species